rnacentral:rRNA from 1 species
UGAACGCUAGCUACAGGCUAACACAUGCAAGUCGAGGGGCAGCGGGAGAAAGCUUGCUUCUUGCCGGCGACCGGCGCACGGGUGAGUAACGCGUAUCCAAUCUUCCCCUUAGUAGGGCAUAGCCCGUAGAAAUGCGGAUUAAUACCCUAUGUUAUUCGUCGAGGACAUCUGAAGUGAAUCAAAGGUUUACCGCUAAGGGAUGGGGAUGCGUCCGAUUAGGCAGCAGGCGGGGUAACGGCCCACCUGGCCAACGAUCGGUAGGGGUUCUGAGAGGAAGGUCCCCCCACAUUGGAACUGAGACACGGUCCAAACUCCUACGGGAGGCAGCAGUGAGGAAUAUUGGUCAAUGGGCGCGAGCCUGAACCAGCCAAGUAGCGUGCAGGACGACGGCCCUAUGGGUUGUAAACUGCUUUUAUGCGGGGAUAAAGUGAGGGACGUGUCCCUUAUUGUAGGUACCGCAUGAAUAAGGACCGGCUAAUUCCGUGCCAGCCGCAGC